GCCCUCUGGCCAGCCCUCGGUUGGAGAUGGCCUAAGUGCUUCAUUCUUGUAUAGCCAAAAUUAAAAAAUUAAAAAAAAAAAAAAACUGUCCAAAACACACACAUUAUGACAUUCAUAUAAAUACAGAGACCCGUUAAACUAAAAGUGACAAUUUGAUGAUCAAGAUAUAUACAUCACAUAUGCAAAUAUCUGUAUAAUAUCUGUAUAAGUACAUAUCCCAUUAACUAGUCAUGCAAGAACACAUUUGAACAGAGAACAAUGUCGACUAAAAGAGGCAUUUCUCCUUCAAUUCUCUAAAGUUUUUGUUUUCAUCUUGGCAUAAUAUGCGGUACUAAAUUGUGGCAACAUGGUGGUUCGAGAACAAAUGCAUACAAAAUAUUACAUUGAAUUACAAAAUACAUUUAAUUAUUAGUUGCUGAAAAAUAAUCAUCUCACUGUAUCCCAAGAGAACUAAAAAUUGAUGACAAAGCACAGAUGAGACAACAAAUGCAUACAAGCCAGCAACCACAUGUAACACUUACAUAAUGACCUGGAUAACGCCCUAGAAAUUAAAAAACAAUUUGAAAUUAAUUCGAAACCCAGUCACAAUCCAACGGUUCUAAUUAAUUCUAAUUAUAAUUAAAAUAUAUAUAUAUAGUUUCGGUUCAGUUCGGGAUUACUAAACUAUUGAAUAGGUAAUACCGAAUCUCGUAUCAAAUGGUUUGAGAUCGGUUCAAAUUUGGAAAUUUCAGUUUGGGAUUUUUUCAAUUUGGGAUAGGGAUUUUUUCGGUUUGGUUCAAAAUUUUGAGGAGUUUUCCUAACACUCGGUACAAAUAUGUGAUAAAAGUAGCAUUUUUGUUUAUUUUCCGCUCCCUAAUUUGAAAUUUGGGUGGUCAAUUGUUGAUGGAUGCCAAAAUAGAAUCCAUAGGUACGUAGAGAAAGUUGCCAGGAGUACCUUUUGUAAUUGGGCCAACCAGAAGAUAUGGGUAGAAACGUUGGAAAACUAAUGGUCAUUGAGGAUUUUUAUGAUGUAUGACCCUACUGCUACAUUAGUGUAAGUCCAAUAUAUUGAUAUCACACUCAUGAGAUUAAUAUAGGGGCUCUUGGAUUUUAGGGCUUAAAUAAGAAUUUUCUUAUAUUUUAACCUAAAUAGUUUUCUAAAUCUAAUUUAAGUU
rnacentral:lncRNA from 1 species